ACGUUUGGCAUAUGCUAUGACUAUUAACAAAUCACAAGGACAAUCUGUAAAAUUUGUUGGGGUCGAUUUGCGUACACCUGUGUUUAGUCAUGGGCAACUAUAUGUGGCAUUGUCGAGGUGCACGUCUUUUGACAGCAUAAGUGUCCUCCCUGAAGAAGCAAUAGAUUCCACUACCAAUAUUGUUUACCCUGAAGUUCUACUGUAGUGUGGUUUAUCAUACCAGCUACAACAGGUUGCAGAGUAUUACAAUUUAGUUUAAUUUUUUCUUAGUUACCAUAGGAAUGAAAAUGAAGACGCAUAUUGGUGUCUCUUUUCUGCCUCUGCGUAUUUUUUUCCUAGCAUUCCAUAUUAAUAAUAUUUGGGUGUUUGAUGCAGAUGAUUUAUUUGGGAAGGAAGCACCAAUGACACUCGAUUAUAUUGGGAAUCGCUCACCGUCUCUCUUCCGUCAAUCUCAGAGCUGUGCGUGAAAAAAAUGAUGCUGCGAGGAAGAUGCUGACAUUGGUGAUGAAAUGCCAAUGACCCACUUCCCACCAGUUGAGAUUGAGAAGGAUGACGGUGCCUCGGCCGGUGGCGGUGUUCAUGCAACCACCAGUUGUAAUCUUUUUAUUAUUCGGCUGUUAAGCGUUAUCUUUUUCUCAUUCGGCACUUUCCCUUUGCUCAUUGUCAGAGCUGAAGGCACGGCUGCAUGACCACCGCAUGAUAGCUCAAAAUAGGAGGCUAUGUGACAUGUAUUUCUAUGACAUGAGUUAGAACCACUUCGUUUGGUUUUCUAGGCAGUACAGUAUUGGCAUUUUUACAACAUGCCUGCUUAGUUUUAUGGGAUUGUAGUAUCUUCACUCUUCAGAUUUUGUGUUUUGAAAUUGCCGUACCCGAAGGUUUUACAAUUUUUUCUGUGCUUCUUUGACAUGAGUUGGAACCACUUCUUUUGGUUUUUUAGACUUUGUAGCAAACAGCUGCUUUGUGAGACA